AUGAUAUCAAGUUAGUACCACAUUUCCUGCCCUGUCUCCUUUCACUAUUUGUUCCACUAGGGACAAUGUCCUGUUCAAGUGUGGGUGAAGUAGGGUGUUUCUAAAUUCGGGUACGUAACUUGUGAGUAAUUAUGUUGAAUUGUUGUUCUUACUUUUCGAAACUCCCUCUUGAGUUUAGCUUGUGGAUAUUAGUGAAUGCAUGUUUAGUGUUCUCAUUCUAUUUGUAGAUGUCUUGGAUGUUAGGAUGUCAUUUUCAAACCACCUGGAUGUUAUGCCUAACUGUGUGGUUUGUUGAUUGACUUGCAAUCCUGGACACCAUGAUAGAAUUAAGGGCCUGGGCUUUGUCUUCUAAUCACCAUAUGUUGAGUUUUUUAUAGAGCGCCAUUAGUAGGUUUAAUUGAGGACAAGCAAACAUUUAAGUGUGGGGUGAUUUGAUGUGUUGGAUUAUCGACACAUUUGUUCUCGUCGUUAACUACAUUUUUGUGUGUUUAGAUGCCUCAACUUGAUCGAAUUCAUGAUGUUUAGUGGAUAUUUGGUUCC
rnacentral:lncRNA from 1 species